GUGGAGGUGACUAACUCUGCAGGAGGCUUGUGCCACCAGCGUUACCAGCACACGCCUGUGGGAGUGGCUAAGACCUCCUGGCCUCUCCUUCUCAGCCUCUGUGGCCAAACACAAUAAGGAAAGAAAGUCAACUGGCUUGGUGCCUACAAAUGGUGAAGGACCAUCCAUUCAUCUCCUUAGGACAGAUGUUUUGUUGCCACGAGAAGGUAUGACCUUUCUCACUCCAUCAAUGUGACAUAUUAUUUCUUUUGGCUCCCCAGAGGACUCAUGGGGAACAUGUCACUAGGAGUCAAGAGGCUGCAGUCUGGACAAACGGCUCUGGGCAAACUGGCAGCUGUGAUAAAGGGCAGGUUGUGUGAAGGCUGGACAUACCGAGCUGCAUAAUCACCAGAGCACAAAUCAUCCCAGCAGGAAGACACAACCUCAGCACCAUAAAGCAUCCAGCUCCAGAGUCAUCAGUCUGGCUCCACUGGGGGAGGUUUGCCCAAGGACAAAGCACAGACGAUACCCGUAGCUAGGGAAGAAACAGUACCAUAUUUUUGAUGCUGAUUUUCUGCAUACACAGUUCUGGAGAACCAUGCCUCAGCCUCAAAAGGUGUAGCCACUUAGCUGGUGCUGUGACUGCUUUCAAAGGCCAUUCCACUGUUGUAUCAAGCCAGCUUCUUCAGGGUGGUGGGGAAUAAGACUUAAAGCCAAGAUGAAAAUGCCUGCUAUGUAUUGAAGGCCACUAGUUAAAAGCUCUACAGAAUAUCCCUGACUUCGAUUCAACAACUUCAACUCCCUUCAGCCUGAAGAAGCCGGAUCGAUCAUCAUCUAUUACCACUCAUGGCAGUUUGGAUUACACCUUCAGAGGAAAAAUGCUACAGGCAUCUAAGUCAGUUAAAAAUAUUAUAGGUAGUCAGACAUGGCUAGGGCCUCAAAGGAGCCAGCUUAGAGGACCAGAUGUCUUGUGAUCAUGGAGGGGACAGAUACUUCCCACUGUGGGCCAGAUCACAAGACAAAAGGCUAAACUUGGCCCUCAAACCCCACAGGGAGAUCUUCUUAAUGUGGCUUUUCAUGUUUUUAACAACAGAGACAAAUAUCAAAAGGAGAAAAUAACCUGAUCUUUUAGCAUUUGGAGCUCUGAGACAGGUAAACUGAGACAUGGUGGAGUUGCCCAAGCCCCUCUCAGACCAUGCUUCAGGUACAACAAAAAGGACACUGGACAAGAGAAUGCCCCUUCUGCAAACUCAAGGACCAUUGGAAGUGUGACUGUUCCAGCCACUAGAGAGUGGGCAGGCCAUCUUCUAACUCCUUGCCCUCACAGAGGAUCUCGUCACCCCUGGAUUCAUCAUGGCUGAUCUACUUGGACUUGCUGCUGAAGAUUGAUGAAGCCUGGUGCCCACAGCCCCCAUUAAGGUGUCCUCAGAGCCCCGAGUCUCACUGGAAGUCUCAGGAUGUGAGCAUUCACCAACAAUAAAGCUGUCCUGGCUGAAAAACACCUAGUACUACCUUCUUCUACAUGGGCAUCAAUUGUCAUCCCGUCAGCCUUCCUAAAUCCCAACACAGCGCCCCCCCUUUCAGCAGGAAGUAGUAAGAGAGAGACUUUGCCCUUUUCCCAACAAUAAAAAG